rnacentral:rRNA from 1 species
UAGGGAAUCUUCCGCAAUGGGCGAAAGGUUGCCGGAGCAACGCCGCGUGAGUGAUGAAGGUCUUCGGAUCGUAAAACUCUGUUAUUAGGGAAGAACAAAUGUGUAAGUAACUAUGCACGUCUUGACGGUACCUAAUCAGAAAGCCACGGCUAACUACGUGCCAGCAGCCGCGGUAAUACGUAGGUGGCAAGCGUUAUCCGGAAUUAUUGGGCGUAAAGCGCGCGUAGGCGGUUUUUUAAGUCUGAUGUGAAAGCCCACGGCUCAACCGUGGAGGGUCAUUGGAAACUGGAAAACUUGAGUGCAGAAGAGGAAAGUGGAAUUCCAUGUGUAGCGGUGAAAUGCGCAGAGAUAUGGAGGAACACCAGUGGCGAAGGCGACUUUCUGGUCUGUAACUGACGCUGAUGUGCGAAAGCGUGGGGAUCAAACAGG